GACGAACGCUGGCGGCGUGGAUUAGGCAUGCAAGUCGGACGGUAGGGCUUUAUCGUAAGAUAGAGUUUGAGAGUGGCGAACGGGUGAGUAACACGUAGGAAUCUACCCUUAAGACGGGGACAACCCAGGGAAACUUGGGCUAAUACCGGAUGAGAGUGCGAGAGAUUGCAUUUAAAAGGAUGGCGAAAGUUGUCGCUUAGGGAUGAGCCUGCGGUCUAUUAGUUAGUUGGUGAGGUAAGAGCUCACCAAGGCGAUGAUAGAUAGGCGGCCUUAACGGGUGGUCGCCCACACUGGGAUUGAGAUACGGCCCAGACUCCUACGGGAGGCAGCAGUCGAGAAUAGUCUACAAUGGCCGGAAGGCUGAUAGUGCGACGCCGCGUGAACGAGGGAGCCCUUCGGGGUGUAAAGCACUUUUGGCGGGAACGAAACGGCGCUUUCUAAUACAGAGCGCUAAUGACGGUACCGCACGAAUAAGCACCGGCUAACUACGUGACCAGCAGUCGCGGUAAAGAGUAGUACAC
rnacentral:rRNA from 1 species